rnacentral:rRNA from 1 species
UACGUAGGUGGCAAGCGUUGUCCGGAAUUAUUGGGCGUAAAGCGCGCGCAGGCGGUCCUUUAAGUCUGAUGUGAAAGCCCACGGCUCAACCGUGGAGGGUCAUUGGAAACUGGGGGACUUGAGUACAGAAGAGGAAAGCGGAAUUCCACGUGUAGCGGUGAAAUGCGUAGAGAUGUGGAGGAACACCAGUGGCGAAGGCGGCUUUCUGGUCCUUAACUGACGCUGAGGCGCGAAAGCAUGGGGAGCGAACGGG